rnacentral:rRNA from 1 species
CAGCAGCCGCGGGAAUACGAAGGGUGCAAGCGUUACUCGGAAUUACUGGGCGUAAAGCGUGCGUAGGUGGUUGUUUAAGUCUGCUGUGAAAGCCCUGGGCUCAACCUGGGAAUUGCAGUGGAUACUGGGCGACUAGAGUAAGGUAGAGGAUAGUGGAAUUUCCGGUGUAGCAGUGAAAUGCGUAGAGAUCGGAAGGAACAUCUGUGGCGAAGGCGACUAUCUGGGCCAUUACUGACACUGAGGCACGAAAGCGUGGGGAGCAAACAGGAUUAGAUACCCGCGUAGUCCCUGUCUCUUAUAC